rnacentral:misc_RNA from 1 species
AUGCCUUCAUUGCUAGUUGCAGGUUAUUUUAACUGCUACUGACCAGUGCAGGAUAUAAUGUUUUCUCCUUUCAACUAAAAUCUUUUGAUAAUAGGCCUGCGCAUUGUGCCCAUGGUAAAUAUUAGCAGAAUGAGUACCAAGUAUUUUUAUGUUAUAUUUUUGUACAUUUUUUUCCUUUCGCUGAUGAUGGUUGAGUUUAACUUCAAUAAUUUCAGAGUACAUAGGAAUUGAAUUAUAUUCAGUGUAAAGAAAGUAUAUUCCUUAUGCCUCCUUCAUUCCCCCUACUGUAUUUGACUGAGUUAAUUAGAUGUACCAUCAUUGUUUAUGCAAACAUGAUCUUUUAUGGCUUAUGAAAAGAGAGGUGGAAUUAUACUGUACACUGUGUUGCCUAUCAAAGAAUUGAAUCGCAUAUGCAUAUGAUUUGGAUGAUUCAGAUAUUUCCUGUGUUCUGUUGGGUGUCUUCUUUUCAGCAUUCUAUAAUUGUAUUAGCAAGUUAAAUAGAUUGUACUUAUUUGUGUUUGAUUGGACACAGUAACUGUCAUGGUAGAGAUGGAGUGCUACAAUUGUAUAAUGUAACAAAUGUUGUACAAAAUGAGGGAAUGAUUAAGCCUGUUUACUGUUGAAAUAGAUUUGCUUGUCCUGACAAGCUGCCAAGGCAGUGCACUAUAACUUGUUAGCUCAGUUUCUCUAGAACUUCUAUGUGGAAAUAUGGCAAGUCUGGAAUCUGACGAUGUGAUUAUUCUGAUUCAUAUGUUAGUUUUCACUGUGCUUACUGUAUGUGCCUUAUCGAACACUUUUCUUGUACAGCUUAUUCCAGUCUUUCUUCUGAAAGCCAAGAUUAUAAAUCUAUUUUUUUUUUCUUGUAUAAUUAAUUUCUGCUGCUAAGAAACAAAAGCUGGUCUUUACCAUUGGUGUGAUUGUUUCUGAAACUAAGCUAGGGAAGCUGGUCUAGUUUUUCUAUGUCAGUGUUGAAAAUUUUAGCAAAU